AGACGGGUGAGUAAUGCGGAGGAAUCUACCUAGGAGUACGGAAUAGCCAUUAGAAAUGGUGGGUAAUACUGUAUAAUCCCCGAGGGGGAAAGAUUUAUCGCUAUUAGAUGAGCCUACGUUAGAUUAGCUAGUUGGUGAGGUAAUGGCUUACCAAGGCUAUGAUCUAUAGCUGGUCUGAGAGGACGAUCAGCCACACUGGAACUGAGAUACGGUCCAGACUCCUACGGGAGGCAGCAGUGGGGAAUAUUGGACAAUGGGCGAAAGCCUGAUCCAGCUAUGCCGCGUGAGUGAAGAAGGCCU
rnacentral:rRNA from 1 species